rnacentral:rRNA from 1 species
UAGCAUAUCAAUAAGCGGAGGAAAAGAAACCAACAGGGAUUGCCUCAGUAACGGCGAGUGAAGCGGCAACAGCUCAAAUUUGAAAUCUGGCCCUCUCAGGGUCCGAGUUGUAAUUUGGAGAAGAUGCUUCGGGUGUGGCCCCGGUCUAAGUUCCUUGGAACAGGACGUCAUAGAGGGUGAGAAUCCCGUACGUGACCGGUGGCCUCGCCCGUGUGAAGCUCUUUCGACGAGUCGAGUUGUUUGGGAAUGCAGCUCAAAAUGGGUGGUAAAUUUCAUCUAAAGCUAAAUAUUGGCCAGAGACCGAUAGCGCACAAGUAGAGUGAUCGAAAGAUGAAAAGCACUUUGGAAAGAGAGUUAAACAGUACGUGAAAUUGUUGAAAGGGAAGCGCUUGCAACCAGACUUGCGCGCGGCCGAUCAUCUGGUGUUCUCACCGGUGCACUCGGUCGCGCUCAGGCCAGCAUCGGUUUGGGUGGCUGGAUAAAGGCCUCGGGAAUGUGGCUCCCCCCGGGGAGUGUUAUAGCCCGAGGUGCAAUGCAGCCUACCCGGACCGAGGACCGCGCUUCGGCUAGGAUGCUGGCGUAAUGGUUGUAAGCGACCCGUCUUGAAACACGGACCAAGGAGUCUAACAUCUAUGCGAGUGUUUGGGUGUCAAACCCAUACGCGUAAUGAAAGUGAACGGAGGUGAGAACCCUUAAGGGUGCAUCAUCGACCGAUCCUGAUGUCUUCGGAUGGAUUUGAGUAAGAGCAUAGCUGUUGGGACCCGAAAGAUGGUGAACUAUGCCUGAAUAGGGUGAAGCCAGAGGAAACUCUGGUGGAGGCUCGCAGCGGUUCUGACGUGCAAAUCGAUCGUCAAAUUUGGGCAUAGGGGCGAAAGACUAAUCGAACCAUCUAGUAGCUGGUUCCUGCCGAU